CUGGAGGGGAGCUGACGAAGAAGCCGCAUCCGGAUGAUGUAAUUACUUUUACAGAUGAAGAUGAUCGAGGCAUUCAAACUCCCCAUGACGAUGCUGUUGUUGUCUCGACAAUAAUAGCAAAUUAUGAUGUAAAAAGAAUCUUUGUAGAUAAUAGAAGUUCAACGAACAUUUUGUUUUACUCGACCUUCUCUCGGAUGCGCCUGUCGACCGACCGACUCAAGCGAGUCUCUACGCCCCU
rnacentral:lncRNA from 1 species